CCAUCUCUCACUUCCAAAACCUCCUUGGACCAGACUCCUUAUCAUCGCCAAGCCAUCAAUCUCCUCCUCAAUGGUUUGCUCAACUAAUAGAGUUCUGCCCAACUGAGUUGCAAGUAUCUGCAAUGAUCACCAUACCCUCGGCUGUGGAGAUCCAGAAGAUAUUGUUUAAGCUAAACCCGAACAAGUCUCCAGGUCCUGAUGGAUUUACAUCGGCUUUUUACAAAUCUUCCUGGAGUUUCCUUGGAGUGGAAGUGCUUACUGCGAUCACUCAUUUCUUCCAGCAAUCUUUUCUUCCUGCCUCUGCCAACUCAACCAUCCUUGCGCUUGUCCCAAAACGCCCGGGAGCCUCCUCUGUCACAGAUUACCGUCCAAUAAGUUGUCUAAACACUCUCUAUAAAGUCAUUGCAAAAUUGCUAGUGAGAAAAAUCAAACCUAUUUUGCCUGCGCUGAUUGUUCCUAAUCAAACGGCUUUUGUGAAAGACAGAUUGAUUAUGGAGAACACGGUGUUGGCUGGAGAGCUUGUCAAUGGAUAUCACAAGAAAAAAGGGCCGAAAAGAAUUACUAUAAAGGUUGAUAUCGCCAAGGCCUUUGACACGCUCUCUUGGGACUUCCUUUUCAACUGCCUUGAAG
rnacentral:lncRNA from 1 species